GAUGAACGCUGGCGGCGUGCCUAAUACAUGCAAGUCGAGCGAACAGACGAGGAGCUUGCUCCUCUGACGUUAGCGGCGGACGGGUGAGUAACACGUGGAUAACCUACCUAUAAGACUGGGAUAACUUCGGGAAACCGGAGCUAAUACCGGAUAAUAUAUUGAACCGCAUGGUUCAUUAUUAAAAGCGGGUUUGCCUGUCACUAUUGGUGGAUUCCGCGCCGAUUUAGUUAGUUGGUAAGGUAACGGCUUACCAAGGCAACGAUGCGUAGCCGACCUGAGAGGGUGAUCGGCCACACUGGAACUGAGACACGGUCCAGACUCCUACGGGAGGCAGCAGUAGGGAAUCUUCCGCAAUGGGCGAAAGCCUGACGGAGCAACGCCGCGUGAGUGAUGAAGGUCUUCGGAUCGUAAAACUCUGUUAUUAGGGAAGAACAAAUGUGUAAGUAACUAUGCACGUCUUGACGGUACCUAAUCAGAAAGCCACGGCUAACUACGUG
rnacentral:rRNA from 1 species